rnacentral:misc_RNA from 1 species
UUAAGUUCAGCGGGUAGUCCUACCUGAUUUGAGGUCAAAUUGUCAUGUAUUGUCUGAGUGAACAGACGGUUAGAAGCAGUGCAAACCCAUAUGAUUGCAGACGUCCACGGCGUAGAUAAUUAUCACACCAAUAAACAGUCCACGCAGGGCACCAGCUAAUGCAUUUAAGGGGAGCUGACCAUCUGUGAAGAAGCCGGCAA